AAAAGUGUGAAAAUUCAAGUAAUCAAGCAAUCAAAGGUGGUGAGCAUUCUGGCAAAAGUAAAGAGAUAAUACCUGAGGAUCAAUAAUAGAAGUACUUGGAAUUCGACUCCCGAAAUAUAGGUUUCAAACACCUAGCACAAUUAUAGAGGAUACUAAAAGAAUUUUACAGAAACAAUCUGCCUAGAGCACACAAGAUCCCGGAAGGCAACAACUUACCUUGACUUUCGAGAGGAGCCAUGAGCCUGCAGCCCAUCCGCCAAAAAAGAUAAUAAUUGCUUUAUCAACAAAACAAGCGAAGAAAAGAGAGCUAAGUAGAUAAGAAACAUUCACGAAUUGCAGACUCAAGUGGGAUUUAAUUUCCUGAUCAGGAAAUGAGGGACAACCAGAUGAGAUAAGGUCUAAAAUUUUCUAAAGCAACUACAACUACGGUUUAACAUUUAAAGAAAGCAACCAAACAAAUAUAGAGAAAUCGAAGGAAAUGACGGAAAACGCAUAUGAGAAAAUGAGCUUAAAUUCUGAAACCAAGAUGGCUUUGUUUUUUCCCUUAAAGGAGACAACGGAGAGAAAUUUGGACAGGUGAGACUUAGGCGAAAGAAAAUAAGAAGAGAAUUGAUGGAAUAUUUGCUUCAUGGAAUGAAAUACAAAGAGAAAAAAAUAAUAUUUUGUGAGAAUAGAAUAUGUAGUUUCAAUGAAAUAGAAUAUGAUAAGAAUUAC